rnacentral:rRNA from 1 species
GAUGAACGCUGGCGGCGUGCCUAAUACAUGCAAGUCGAGCGAACAGACGAGGAGCUUGCUCCUCUGACGUUAGCGGCGGACGGGUGAGUAACACGUGGAUAACCUACCUAUAAGACUGGGAUAACUUCGGGAAACCGGAGCUAAUACCGGAUAAAAUAUUGAACCGCAUGGUUCAAUAGUGAAAGACGGUUUUGCUGUCACUUCUAGAUGGAUCCGCGCCGCAUUAGCUAGUUGGUAAGGUAACGGCUUACCAAGGCAACGAUGCGUAGCCGACCUGAGAGGGUGAUAGGCCACACUGGAACUGGGACACGGUCCAGACUCCUACGGGAGGCAGCAGUAGGGAAUCUUCCGCAAUGGGCGAAAGCCUGACGGAGCAACGCCGCGUGAGUGAUGAAGGUCUUCGGAUCGUAAAACUCUGUUAUUAGGGAAGAACAAAUGUGUAAGUAACUAUGCACGUCUUGACGGUACCUAAUCAGAAAGCCACGGCUAACUACGUG